GGCCAACUUAGCUCAGUUGGUAGAGCAGCUGAUUUGUAAUCAGCCGGUCGUCGGUUCGAGUCCGACAGUUGGCUU
rnacentral:tRNA from 1 species